UCUCCGUAGGUGAACCUGCGGAGGGAUCAUUACAAGAACGCCCGGGCUUCGGCCUGGUUAUUCAUAUCCCUUUGUUGUCCGACUCUGUUGCCUCCGGGGCGACCCUGCCUUCGGGCGGGGGCUCCGGGUGGACACUUCAAACUCUUGCGUAACUUUGCAGUCUGAGUAAACUUAAUUAAUAAAUUAAAACUUUUAACAACGGAUCUCUUGGUUCUGGCAUCGAUGAAGAACGCAGCGAAAUGCGAUAAGUAAUGUGAAUUGCAGAAUUCAGUGAAUCAUCGAAUCUUUGAACGCACAUUGCGCCCCCUGGUAUUCCGGGGGGCAUGCCUGUUCGAGCGUCAUUUCACCACUCAAGCCUCGCUUGGUAUUGGGCAACGCGGUCCGCCGCGUGCCUCAAAUCGUCCGGCUGGGUCUUCUGUCCCCUAAGCGUUGUGGAAACUAUUCGCUAAAGGGUGUUCGGGAGGCUACGCCGUAAAACAACCCCAUUUCUAAGGUUGACCUCGGAUCAGGUAGGGAUACCCGCUGAACUUAAGCAUAUCA
rnacentral:rRNA from 1 species